AUUGAACGCUGGCGGCAGGCCUAACACAUGCAAGUCGAACGAGUGGCGGACGGGUGAGUAAUGUCUGGGAAACUGCCCGAUGGAGGGGGAUAACUACUGGAAACGGUAGCUAAUACCGCAUACCAUCGGAUGUGCCCAGAUGGGAUUAGCUAGUAGGUGGGGUAAAGGCUCACCUAGGCGACGAUCCCUAGCUGGUCUGAGAGGAUGACCAGGCACACUGGAACUGAGACACGGUCCGUACUCCGACUGGAGGCAGCAGUGGGGAAUAUGGCACAAUGGGCGAAAGCCUGAUGCAGCCAUGCCGCGUGUAUGAAGAAGGCCUGCGGGUUUUAAAGUACUUUCAGCGGGGAGGCGUUACCCGCAGAAGAAGCACCGGCUAACUCCGUGCCAGCAGCCGCGGUAAUAC
rnacentral:rRNA from 1 species